UGAGGAAUCUUGCGCAAUGGGGGAAACCCUGACGCAGCAACGCCGCGUGAGUGAGGAAGGCCUUCGGGUCGUAAAGCUCUGUCAGAUGGGAAGAAAUGGGUGGGGGCUAAUAUCGUCCAUCCUUGACGGUACCAUCAGAGGAAGCACCGGCUAACUCCGUGCCAGCAGCCGAGGUAAUACGGGGGGUGCAAGCGUUGUUCGGAAUCAUUGGGCGUAAAGCGCGCGCAGGCGGCUUGGUAAGUCAGAUGUGAAAUCCCUGGGCUUAACCCAGGAAGUGCAUGUGAUACUGCCUCGCUAGAGUACGGGAGAGGAAAGGGGAAUUCCUGGUGUAGAGGUGAAAUUCGUAGAUAUCAGGAGGAACACCGGUGGCGAAGGCGACUUUCUGGCCCGAUACUGACGCUCAGGCGCGAAAGCGUGGGGAGCAAACA
rnacentral:rRNA from 1 species